CAACCCUCAGGCCCCAGGGCCUGGUGUUGGGGGACGGCCCUCCCACCGCGGGGGCCGCCCCCGAAAUGGAUCGGCGGUCACGGCGCCGCCUCCCCCUGCGUAGUAGCACAGCAGUCUCGCAUCGGGAGCGCGCCGCGGCCACGGCCGUAAAACGCCCAACUUCUAAG
rnacentral:misc_RNA from 1 species